AUUGAACGCUGGCGGAAUGCUUUACACAUGCAAGUCGAACGGUAGAGGGGGCAACCCCUUGAGAGUGGCGAACGGGUGAGUAAUAUAUCGGAACGUGCCCAGUCGUGGGGGAUAACGUAGCGAAAGUUACGCUAAUACCGCAUACGAUCUAAGGAUGAAAGCGGGGGAUCGCAAGACCUCGCGCGACUGGAGCGGCCGAUAUCAGAUUAGGUAGUUGGUAGGGUAAAGGCCUACCAAGCCAACGAUCUGUAGCUGGUCUGAGAGGACGACCAGCCACACUGGAACUGAGACACGGUCCAGACUCCUACGGGAGGCAGCAGUGGGGAAUUUUGGACAAUGGGCGAAAGCCUGAUCCAGCCAUUCCGCGUGCAGGAUGAAGGCCCUCGGGUUGUAAACUGCUUUUGUACAGAACGAAAAGGUUUCUAUUUAUACUAGGAGCUCAUGACGGUACUGUAAGAAUAAGCACCGGCUAACUACGUG
rnacentral:rRNA from 1 species